rnacentral:rRNA from 1 species
AGAGUUUGAUCAUGGCUCAGGACGAACGCUGGCGGCGCGCCUAAGACAUGCAAGUCGGACGGAGAAGGUGGGGCUUGCCCUAUCUUCUCAGUGGCGGACGGGUGAGUAACACGUAGGAACCUACCCCCUGGACGGGGAUAACCCUGGGAAACUGGGGCUAAUACCCGAUGGUCACCUUUUGGGUGUAAAGGGAGGCGGAAGCCUCUGCCGGGGGAUGGGCCUGCGGGCCAUUAGCUAGUUGGUAGGGUAAAGGCCUACCAAGGCGACGAUGGCUAGCCGGCCUGAGAGGGUGGUCGGCCACACUGGGACUGAGACACGGCCCAGACUCCUACGGGAGGCAGCAGUCGGGAAUCUUGGGCAAUGGGGGAAACCCUGACCCAGCGACGCCGCGUGAGCGAAGAAGGCCUUCGGGUCGUAAAGCUCUGUCCUAGGGGAAGAACGCCUAAGGGAGGAAAUGCCCUUAGGGUGACGGUACCCUAGGAGGAAGCCCCGGCUAACUACGUGCCAGCAGCCGCGGUAAAACGUAGGGGGCGAGCGUUGUCCGGAAUGACUGGGCGUAAAGGGCGUCUAGGCGGCCUGUGAAGUCCUGCGUGAAAGGUCACGGCUUAACCGUGGAAGGUCGCAGGAAACCAGCAGGCUUGAGGGCAGGAGAGGAGAGCGGAAUUCCUGGUGUAGCGGUAAAAUGCGUAGAUAUCAGGAAGAACACCGGUGGCGAAGGCGGCUCUCUGGACUGGCCCUGACGCUGAAGCGCGAAAGCGUGGGGAGCGAACGGGAUUAGAUACCCCGGUAGUCCACGCCGUAAACGACGAGUGCUAGGUGUGGGAGGUAUCGACCCCUCCCGUGCCGGAGCUAACGCACUAAGCACUCCGCCUGGGGAGUACGGCCGCAAGGUUGAAACUCAAAGGAAUUGACGGGAGCCCGCACAAGCAGUGGAGCAUGUGGUUUAAUUCGAAGCAACGCGAAGAACCUUACCCGGGCUUGACAUCUCCCGGAAGUCGCCAGAGAUGGCGGCGUCCCGCAAGGGACUGGGAGACAGGUGCUGCAUGGUUGUCGUCAGCUCGUGUCGUGAGAUGUUGGGUUAAGUCCCGCAACGAGCGCAACCCUCGUCCCGUGUUACCAGCCCAAGGGAGGGGACUCACGGGAGACUGCCGGUGACAAACCGGAGGAAGGUGGGGAUGACGUCAAAUCAUCAUGGCCCUUAUGCCCGGGGCUACACACGUGCUACAAUGGCCGGUACAACGGGUUGCGAAGGAGCGAUCCGGAGCUAAUCCCUAAAAGCCGGUCCCAGUUCGGAUCGCAGGCUGCAACUCGCCUGCGUGAAGGCGGAAUUGCUAGUAAUCGCGGAUCAGAAUGCCGCGGUGAAUACGUUCUCGGGCUUUGUACACACCGCCCGUCACACCACGGGAGCGGGUAACACCCGAAGCCGGUGGGCCAACCGCAA